GCACCCCUCAGCCCCGUCAGGUUCGCGGUGAAGGCCAUGGAAGCUUUGCUUCUAUGCGCUGGCUACAAGGAGCAGGCCACCUUCAUGAUGAAGCAUGGCCGCUGGGACCUGCUCAUGAGCUCCGACACGCACCACAAAGGUGUCUGCCUGCUUGCCCGGGCCAUGGUUUCGCUCAAUGUCGAGG